rnacentral:lncRNA from 9 species
GGCCUCCAGGAAGCCCAGUGGCCCCAUCACACACCAAAGAGCCCCAAAGACACUCCAGAUCGGAAAUUGCUGGGGUCACCACGCUUAUGGUUUGAACAGAACAGCCGCCCGGAGCUGCCAGUUGGAGGCGUCCUGCAGAGCUGCUCAGGACAUGGCUUUGCUCUCGUCUCACUUGGCUUCCCCUCCCCUUUUCUAGGACAAUGCCAUUAGCUUUGAGCAUCAGGAAUGUGCUGAAGACAGGCGAUGAGCCGGUGACCUUGGGGUGAGCAGCCGGCUGAGCCCAGGGCAAGCUUGUCAGAUGCGGUCAAGGCCACUUCCGGUCCCCAGACCACCGCCCCCCCCCCCCCCCCCCCCCCCCCCCCCCCCCCCCGGUUCAUACAUCUGCGUCCUGUCACUUGAGCACUCCCUCCUGCCUCUGCUCACCUUCUGGGCCUCAGUGGAGAGGCCGCCAGGGAAAAUCCAUUUAAAGAAGCCACGGCCAUCUCUGCAGCGUAACCCAGUGAUUCUGUAAUAAAUCACGUUCUGGAGCCAGGAGCCACUUAGGAACCUGAGCCGUGAAUCCUGCCUGCCUGGGGCUGGCACUUUGGAUCUACUCAAGCUGAGCCACUGCUUUGUGCUGUGAUUCCUGCCGGUGGCACUUGUGCGAUGGCGGAUGGUAGACUCUGGCGUGUCCCUUGCCUCGACCAGAGACCCCUCCCUUGGAAGAGACCCCGUGUUCCACUGCUGUCUCCACUGAUGUGACCAGGGCCCGGCCCAGGGACAGGACUGGGGGGACCAAACGGGGUCAGGCAGGAACCUGGCCCUCAGGGAACUGGCUCGGGCAAGCUCACGUGCCAGGAACGCCCCCGUGAGUGACCCAAGGCCUCUGGAGACCAGCCAGAUGGGGCAGCCUGGCCCCUGCGGCAGAAGACAAUCUGUCGGACGGGCUGUCAGCAAGCAGCAACGACGUCCUUCUUGGGGACGCCUGGCCGAGCUUCGCAGAGCGGGAGCCCUGAACACAGCGAGGAGAAGCUCCUGGAGAAUGUCGCCUUCUCUGUCCCUGUCCGUGUCUGCGUGGACUUGCCACCUGCUUCCUUCCCUAGAGCUCCGGGUCAGAGCAAACAAAGGCAAGGCUGAGUCUUUCUUCAUCUUCUCCCACCACUCUAAUGAAGCCACGAGGCAGGAGGGACCAUGGGAACCGGACUCAGCAAGAAGGGACUUUGCAAUCAGACUCAGCAUCUCUGAAGAAAGGCCCCUCUGUGAGUAGACCCUGUGCCAGGCUUUAAAUGCCAUGUAAAAUAUCUCUUCAGAUGUUUCACACACAUUUGAGCAAGUCUCAUUUUUUGCUUGAUUCAGGGAUGAAUUUCAGUGAUAUUGUGAUUUACCAUAAGAAAUGUGUAUUUGGUUCCCGGCACAUAGCUCCUAAAACCCUUGGAAUUUCCUAGCUGUUGAGAUAAAGGUGGCUUUGUUAUGCUGAUGAGAUGAUUGGGGAUCAGUCUUCAGGUAACCUAAAGGUGGGGGCUGGUUGCCAGGAGAACUUUCAUCUUCACCCAAAGAUCUGGGGAGGGAAGAGGGGCU